rnacentral:rRNA from 1 species
AUGCAUUACAUUGUUUUUCGUCUCCUUCUUCAUGGCAUGCUUACCAGCACCGCAUCGAGAACAUUAAAGUUUAGGAGAAGAUCUUGGGCGGGCGGCAGCUCCUGGAAAACUCCCCUCCCCCGCGUCGCCCUUCGUGCCGGCGGCGGGGGGGCACUAGCCCACACCACCGCAGCCCCUCCCACCCCGACCCCGCACCUCGCCGCCGCCGGAGGAGCGGCCGGCGAAGCCCGUGCCUGCUCCCAGGAAGGUGGCGGCGGGGCGUCUCAGUUGACCCCUGCUUCCAGCGCUUGGCGUCUGGGAGGUCCUGCUGCUGCGCCAGAUCUGGCGCUCCUGCUGCCCCCUCCCCUCAUCCGCGUCGGGGGCGCCGGAUCUGCCUCGUGCUUCCUCUGGCCCGCUCCCCUGGCGUCGCCCGGCGCCCUCCUUCUAGAUUCGGCCGGCGCGCCGCGGAUGGGGCUUCCGGCGCCCUCGGGGCGGCUCCCAUGGCAGGGCCUCGUGGCUGCCUUGGUGGCGGCUCCAUCCCGCCGUUCUGCUGGGCUGGGCGCUGCGCCCCGCUUCCCUGCUCCGUGCCUUGCGCCGGCUUCCGCCGCCUCCCCACCCUCAACCGCUCGCCGUCGUCGGCUGCCUGUCUGUCGGACGCUCCGCCUCCCGCCUUCCGGCAGUUCCAAACUGCCACGUCUCUCGCCUCCACCGCCCAUCGUCGUCGUGCUUCUACGCGUACUCGCCAACGAAGGUGGCGUCGUGGCUCCUGUGCUCUGGAGCCCUCCACCUCCCAGUUCCCCCGGUGGGCUGCUGCUGUUCGUGGCUUUUCCCGCUGGGGGCGCCGCACCGGUGGUCCUCACCGGUGCCCUCGGCGUCAAGGGUGCCUGCCGGCGUCGCUCCGCCGAUCGGAUUCAUCUGGAUCUGGGGCCGUCCAUCUUCAGCGCUAUCCCGCACUAUUGGCGGCUGCUCUGUGACUUGUCGCGUGGAGGAUGUGUUUGGGGAUGGGGAGAAAUCCUUGGUCGGCCUGCUGCUGGCCGAGACAGCGGCGACGCUCCCUGUCGUUUCCAUCUUGAUGGUGUUGUCUUCAUCCCCGGUCUUGUGAUGUUUUGGGUGUGCUCAGUGGAGUUCUAUGCUUGGUGA